UACGAAGGGGGCAAGCGUUGUUCGGAAUUACUGGGCGUAAAGGGCGCGUAGGCGGGCUGUCAAGUCUGGGGUGAAGUCCCGCGGCUCAACCGUGGAACUGCCUCAGAUACUGACGGCCUCGAGGGAGAUAGGGGCGAGCGGAACUAAUGGUGGAGCGGUGAAAUGCGUUGAUAUCAUUAGGAACUCCGGUGGCGAAGGCGGCUCGCUGGAUCUCUUCUGACGCUGAGGCGCGAAAGCUAGGGGAGCAAACGGG
rnacentral:rRNA from 1 species